AACAGGAUUAGAUACCCUGGUAGUCCACGCCGUAAACGAUGAGUGCUAGGUGUCGGGGGGUCCUACCCUCGGCGCCGAAGGUAACCCAUUAAGCACUCCGCCUGGGGAGUACGGCCGCAAGGCUGAAACUCAAAGGAAUUGACGGGGGCCCGCGCAAGCGGUGGAGCAUGAGGUUUAAUUCGAAGCAACGCGAAGAACCUUACCAGGGCUUGACAUCCCGCUGACCGCUCCAGAGAUGGAGCUUCCCUUCGGGGCAGCGGUGACAGGUGGUGCAUGGUUGUCGUCAGCUCGUGUCGUGAGAUGUUGGGUUCAGUCCCGCAACGAGCGCAACCCUUAUCGCUAGUUGCCAGCAUUCAGUUGGGCACUCUAGCGAGACAGCCGGUGAAAGCCGGAGGAAGGUGGGGAUGACGUCAAAUCAUCAUGCCCCUUAUGUCCUGGGCUACACACGUGCUACAAUGGCCGGUACAAUGGGUCGCCAACCCGCGAGGGGGAGCUAAUCCCACAAAACCGGUCUCAGUUCGGAUCGCAGGCUGCAACUCGCCUGCGUGAAGCCGGAAUCGCUAGUAAUCGCGGAUCAGCACGCCGCGGUGAAUACGUUCCCGGGCCUUGUACACACCGCCCGUCACACCACGAGAGUUUGCAACACCCGAAGUCGGUGAGGUAACCUUUUGGAACCAGCCGCCGAAGGUGGGGCAGAUGAUUGGGGUGAAGUCGUAACAAGGUAACC
rnacentral:rRNA from 1 species